AUUAAACUGCUUCACACCAGCGCCGCUUAUCCAUUCGCGCUCUCCACCGCCGGACACCGGCCGCCGCUUGCCGUCGGCGUCCACGCCGCAGGAGCCCAGGAAGGAGCGGCGCCGUCGUGGGGCUCAGGCGGCACAACGGCAGCAGGGCCCUCUUCACGGACCACGCCCGCUCCCUUUCCAGCCGCGGCGGAGCAGAAGAAGGUGAGGGGGGCGCACCCUUGCCGGCGGACGGCUUCUGCCGCGGCGGAGUAGAAGGAGCGCCGGGGGGGCGUCAGGAGGCCCAACGGAGACGGUGCUUGGGGCUCGUACGAACGGAGGCGAGCAGCGAUAGGAGAAGCUCCGCGGCGACGCUCUGAAGACCAUUAGCCAUGGCGGCUGCGGCUGGCGCGCGCGAGCGGAUGCGCGCGGCUGGAUGGCGCAGGAGGCUCGAGGCAAGGGGGAGGAUCUGUCCUCCUCCACGGCUGGUGCUGGCGGGGCUGGAUGGCGCAGGAGGCUCGAGGCAAGGGGGAGGACCCAGCCUCCUCCACGAGCGGCGCUGGCGGUCAUGUCCGAUUUGGAUCGGAUUCAGUUCCAUGUUUGUGCAGGAGAACUACUCCAACACGAUUGCCAUGGGUGCCCGACCCGGAUUUCACAUAUUCUUUGCUGUCAUAAAAAGAAAGCCUCCACCGGAUUAGAUCACAAGUUCUGAAGACGAACAGAUCAAUGUCGCCUUCGCCGAUUUCACCAUCGCCUCCGCCGACUUCACCUGAAGACCAUCCACCGUCGUCUCCAUCGACUCUGCCGCAAAACCAUCUGCCAUCGACUUUGCUGGAAGACCUUCAGGUGCUGCCUAGGCCUACUUUGCCGCAGUUCUGUCAGGAAGAAGAAGGGAUUAUGUUGAUGUGGAGUAUGUUCUUUGUUCUACAAGCAUACCUACAUGGGACUAUAGUGCCAAAGGCGUCAGGUGGAGGCCAAGGAUGUUGGGCUCAUGAUGCCGACGUGUAAACUGUAAGUUUCAUAGAUUCAGAUUGGGACAUUUCUUCUUAUUAUUUUGCCGUCAAAAGUGAAAAAGGGUGAUGGUAAUUCACCAAAUGUCGAUGUGGUCAUCAGCAUGUAUGCUCUCAAUCUCCUGGCAGAGUAUUUUCCCUUAAA